CCUGGGAUGAGUUGGUAGAUGCCUAUGCUGAGCAGGCCAAGGGAUUACUGGAUGGAGGGUGUGAUGUACUCAUGGUGGAAACCAUCUUUGACACAGCCAAUUCCAAGGCAGCCCUAUUUGCCCUGUCCCAGCUGUUUGAAGAGGAAUACAAGCCAGUACCUAUAUUUGUAUCAGGAACAAUAGUAGAUAGAAGUGGUAGAACGUUAUCAGGACAGACCUCGGAGGCCUUUGUCAUCAGUGUGUCGCAGGCAGAACCCAUGUGGUAACUAGUCACACUUGAU